UAAGUAAGAAAAAGAAAAGGAGGAGAGUAUGGCAUUCAUUAAUAGUCAACUACACUCUAUGGAGUAGCCAGAACCAAUCAAAGCCUAUCACCCAUGUUAUCCAACAUAAACAAUCUGCGAUGUGAACUGUGCAUGGUGGCUGCAUCCACACAUGACAGGCCAUCAUCCAAGAAUAGCACAUUUCUUCGUGAAUUUCUUUGCACCUCACCAAUUCCUUUGAUCAUCAACUGCAAAAGAAACCGCAUUAAUGCAGAGGAAUGCCACCGCCUGAAUAUUCAACCUCCUGAGCAGGAGGCAAGGAUGAGACCCAGUCUGAUGCAUGCGUUGGAAGAAGCCCCAAUGUGUUAAGCUU
rnacentral:misc_RNA from 1 species